CUCCUUCCGGGUGCAGGCGGGCCUGGGCAGUCUGAGUCCUACCUCAGCCCCCACCUCACCUCCCUGCAUCCUCCUAGCAUCUCUGCAGGGCUAGCCCAGAGGUUGGCGGCGGAAGGCCCACAGCUCCCCUGGCUCCAUGGGCAAUGACCGAACAGCCCUUCACCUCUCUGGGCCUUGUUUUCUCAAACUGAAACUGGAGAGGAUGACCCCAGCCUGGGACCUUCGAGGGCCUCAAAAGGGCUCUGGGCCUUGCGUGAGACAGAGUCUGAAUCUGUGACCUAGUCUGGAGUGCAGUUGCAAGAUCACAACUCGCUGCAACUUCAACCUCCUGGGCUUAAGCAAUUCUCCUACUUCAGCCUUCUGAGUAACUGGGACUACGGGUGUGUGCCACCACACCUGGCUAAUUAUUUUGCUUGUUUUUUGUACAGACAGAGUCUUGCUGUGUUGCCCGGGCUGGUCUCGAACUCCUGGGCUCAAGUGAUCCUCCCGCCUUGGCCUCCUGAAGGGCUGAGAUGACGGCAUGAGCUGCCUCACGCAGCCCCCAUUCUACACCUCUGAAGUGAGUUUACAUGGUACAGUUGCUGUCUGGCUAGCUGCCGUCCCAACAUCACUGUCAGGACCCACACCUGAAAAGCACCAGCAUCAAAUCCUUCAGAAGAGUGUCAGCAGCUUGGAAGAAAUCCUAGAGGGCCCAUGCACGGCAUAUUCACUGCUGUAUCCCCAGAGCCUCGCACAGUGCCUGGUGCAGAGAUGAUUUUCAGCAAAGAGGCACUGAAGGGAAGAUACCUAUGUGACUGUGAGGAGACACAGGCUGGACGAUGAAUGUGAUGGCUGGAACUCAAGCAGCCACAGUGGAUCAUAAGGGACGGUGUCUUGCUAUGUUGUCCAAGCUGGUCUCAAACUGGCCUGAAUCAAUGCUUCCACCUCAGCUGCCAGAGGAACCGGGAUUACAGGCCUGAGCCACUGCAGCCAGCCAGUUUGUUAUUUUAAUGUAAAUUCUUAGUAAACAACUCAGGAGCUCUCUUGUCCUUUUAAAAUCCAUUUCAACUUCUGCUAAUCGGAGUGUAUAUUCAGGGCAACUUGAAUCUGUGCUCCUGGGAUGCAAUCCUCAAGCUUGGCCCAAAUAAAGUCUCCGC
rnacentral:lncRNA from 1 species